ACACGACUUGUCUUUUUAAUUGCGCACUAAUAAGGACCACGAGAGAUGACGGAGAUCGGGAACAAUCUGGCUGAGAGGGGAGAAGCUUUCCUGCUGACCAACGUCCCAUUUCCAGCUCAGCGUGUCGCAGAUGAAUCAGAGUCUUGUGUUGGUUGGUUGGUUGGUUGGACGGACGGACAGACGGACGGAUGUGUUGUUGCUGAGCUACAGUUGCUCUGUAUAAGAAUGGGCGGUGAAAAAUCCAAAACGACAAACAGAACAAUGAUUUUUGGCAGAGGAGGAAUUUGUGAUAUUGAUGCAAUCUGUUGCAAGCCUGUGGCUGUCUGAGGAAACCCACGAGCGAAGCUGCGUGGUCUCGGUCCAGCUGUGCGUCUGAAACGAUGAUCAGCUCCAACCACACACAAGAGACCAGGGGAAUAAAUACGCCGUCUCCUGAUACAAGCGUCAGAUUUCACUCCAGUCGUGGGCGUUUACCCCCGGCGCCGCGAGCCCACGGAUGGAGCGCUAGUCAAGGACGUUCAGUUUUAGCUCCGGGUUCUGUCUGAACUCCAGCAUCAGACCCGGACCUGAAUGCCAGCAGCACCACACCUCCAUCAGGCCAGUAACUCCCGUCCCUGUGUCGUGUCCUUGCAGCUGAACGUUUCAUGAUAUUGAUGCCUUUGUAAAAGAAUAUUAUGACUGCAUCAAUGAGACUGGGUUCGGAGCGGGACUCAAACCCGGGCCAAUAGAGCUGCAUGAAGCUCUGAAACAUUUUCUACAAACUACCUCUGGCAGAACAUGAUUAUUAAACAUCUAAGAAAAUGUAAACGUCAA